UAAACCCAUCGAUAAAGCCCUCGUUGCUACUGCUGAACCAAGACGCUCUUCUCGUGUUCGCACCCUGGUUACUUCUUACCGCGAUGAUGUUGAUGUAGACACUGGUCGUACUUUGGAUCUGAGGAGAUCGCGGCGUAACUCGUCAUGGGCUAGCUACAUUGCACGCCCUGAAGAUGAAUGCAAGUUUGCUUCUUACGAAGAAAAGGUUGGAGCACUCAACGCUGCAGAGGAGUUCCAGAG